rnacentral:rRNA from 1 species
CAAUCACUUGUCUUUUAAAUGAAGACUAGUAUGAACGGCAUCACGAGGGCUUAGCUGUCUCCUCUUUAAAGUCAAUGAAAUUGAUCUCCCCGUGCAGAAGCGGGGAUACACUCGUAAGACGAGAAGACCCUAUGGAGCUUAAGACAUAAAGUUUAACCCAUGUAAAAUACCCCCUAAAGGAAGAAAACAUAUUGAACCUUACUGAUGUGUCUUCGGUUGGGGCGACCACGGGGAAAAGUAAAACCCCCAUAUGGACCAAGGCCACUACCCCUCAAAACUAGGCCCACAGGCCAAAUUAACAGUACUUCUGACCACAAAAGACCCGGCAUCUAGCCGGUUAAUGGACCCAGUUACCCUAGGGAUAACAGCGCAAUCCCCUCCCAGAGACCU